GUGGGGAAUAUUGGACAAUGGGGGCAACCCUGAUCCAGCGACGCCGCGUGGGUGAAGAAGGCCUGCGGGUUGUAAAGCCCUUUCGGUGGGGAUGAAAAGCUUCGUUCUAACACAGCGGAGUCUUGACCUAACCCACAAAAGAAGCACCGGCUAACUCUGUGCCAGCAGCCGCGGUAAUACAGAGGGUGCGAGCGUUAAUCGGAAUUACUGGGCGUAAAGCGCGCGUAGGCGGCUUUGCAAGUCGGAUGUGAAAUCCCCGGGCUCAACCUGGGAACUGCAUUCGAGACUGCAUUGCUAGAGUAUGGGAGAGGGAAGUGGAAUUUCAGGUGUAGCGGUGAAAUGCGUAGAUAUCUGAAGGAACAUCAGUGGCGAAAGCGACUUCCUGGACCAAUACUGACGCUCAUGUGCGAAAGCGUGGGGAGCAAA
rnacentral:rRNA from 1 species